rnacentral:piRNA from 1 species
UAAGCUGUCACAUACCGCAUGUCAGUGGUUGU